UCAAAAACAUGUCUUUUUGAUAAUAAUUUAAAGUCUAAUCUGCCCACUGAUAUAAAUAUUAAAGGGCUGCAGUAUAUUGACUGUACAAAGGUAGCAUAAUCAUUAGUCUUUUAAUUGAAGACUUGUAUGAAAGAUUUGAUGAGAUAUAAUCUGUCUCUAUUUUAUAAAAUAGAAAUUAAUUUUUUAGUUAGAAAGCUAAAAUAAUAUUAAAAGACGAGAAGACCCUAUAAAGUUUUAUAAUUUAUUUAUUUUUUAUUAAUUAUAAAAAUAAAUAUAAUAAUUAAGUAAAUUAUUUUAUUGGGGUGAUAGAAAAAUUAAAUAAACUUUUUUUAAAAUAAAACAUAAAUAAGUGAAAUAUUGAUCCAUUAAUAAUGAUUAAAAGAAAAAAUUACUUUAGGGAUAACAGCGUAAUAUUUUUUUUUAGUCUAAAUAAGAAAAAAAGUUUGCGAUCUCGAUGUUGGAUUAAGAUAAAAUUUAAAUGCAAAAGUUUAAAAUUUUGAUCUGUUCGAUCAUUAAAAUCUUACAUGAUCUGAGCU
rnacentral:rRNA from 1 species